rnacentral:lncRNA from 1 species
UUGUGCUUCCUUCUCUUUGAAACAGUCAAAGUUCCUGCUUAUGCUCAAGUGGGAACUGAAGCUCAAACAUGAUUGCAGGUCUCAGCUUGGCUGUUCCAGAGGGACACCUAACUCGAAGAGCAGAACCAGAACCUUCCAAGUUCUCCUGCCAUCUGGUCUACCUUCAAAGUAAACAUACACCAGAAGCAGGUGUUUUGCACCUUUAA